AGGGAAUCUUGCGCAAUGGGCGAAAGCCUGACGCAGCAACGCCGCGUGCGGGAUGAAGGCCUUCGGGUUGUAAACCGCUUUCAGCAGGGACGAAACUGACGGUACCUGCAGAAGAAGCCCCGGCCAACUACGUGCCAGCAGCCGCGGUAACACGUAGGGGGCGAGCGUUGUCCGGAUUUAUUGGGCGUAAAGAGCUCGUAGGCGGUUUCGUAAGUCGGGUGUGAAAACUUCAGGCUCAACCUGGAGACGCCACUCGAUACUGCGAUGACUAGAGUCCGGUAGGGGAGCGUGGAAUUCCUGGUGUAGCGGUGAAAUGCGCAGAUAUCAGGAGGAACACCGACGGCGAAGGCAGCGCUCUGGGCCGGAACUGACGCUGAGGAGCGAAAGCGUGGGGAGCGAAC
rnacentral:rRNA from 1 species